rnacentral:rRNA from 1 species
CCUACGGGAGGCUGCAGUGGGGAAUAUUGGGCAAUGGGCGCAAGCCUGACCCAGCGACGCCGCGUGAGGGAAGACGGUCUGCGGAUGGGAAACCUCUGUCAGCAGGGAAGACAAAAGGACGGUACCUGCAGAAGAAGCCAUGGCUAACUACGUGCCAGCAGCCGCGGUAAUACGUAGUUGGCAAGCGUUAUCCGGAAUUACUGGGUGUAAAGGGUGUGUAGGCGGGUUUCCAAGUCAGAUGGGAAAAUUAUGGGCUCAACCCAUAACCUGCGUCUGAAACUCCAGAUCUUGAGAGUGGGAGAGGUAAGCGGAAUUCCCGUUGUAGCGGUGAAAUGCGUAGAUAUCGGGAGGAACACCAGUGGCGAAGGCGGUUUACUGGACCACAACUGACGCUGAGGCACGAAAGCGUGGGGAGCAAACAGGAUUAGAUACCCCUGUAGUC